GGCAUGGCGGCGGGCUACACAUGCAGUCGAGCGGUAGCACAGAGAGCUUGCUCUCGGGUGACGAGUGGCGGACGGGUGAGUAAUGUCUGGGAAACUGCCUGAUGGAGGGGGAUAACUACUGGAAACGGUAGCUAAUACCGCAUAAUGUCGCAAGACCAAAGAGGGGGACCUUCGGGCCUCUUGCCAUCAGAUGUGCCCAGAUGGGAUUAGCUAGUAGGUGGGGUAACGGCUCACCUAGGCGACGAUCCCUAGCUGGUCUGAGAGGAUGACCAGCCACACUGGAACUGAGACACGGUCCAGACUCAUACGGGAGGCAGCAGUGGGGAAUAUUGCACAAUGGGCGCAAGCCUGAUGCAGCCAUGCCGCGUGUAUGAAGAAGGCCUUCGGGUUGUAAAGUACUUUCAGCGGGGAGGAAGGUGUUGUGGUUAAUAACCACAGCAAUUGACGUUACCCGCAGAAGAAGCACCGGCUAACUCCGUGCCAGCAGCCGCGGUAAUACGGAGGGUGCAAGCGUUAAUCGGAAUUACUGGGCGUAAAGCGCACGCAGGCGGUCUGUCAAGUCGGAUGUGAAAUCCCCGGGCUCAACCUGGGAACUGCAUUCGAAACUGGCAGGCUGGAGUCUUGUAGAGGGGGGUAGAAUUCCAGGUGUAGCGGUGAAAUGCGUAGAAUCUGGAGGAAUACCGGUGGCGAAGGCGGCCCCCUGGACAAAGACUGACGCUCAGGUGCGAAAGCGUGGGGAGCAAACAGGAUUAGAUACCCUGGUAGUCCACGCCGUAAACGAUGUCGAUUUGAGGUUGUGCCCUUGAGGCGUGGCUUCCGGAGCUAACGCGUUAAAUCGACCGCUGGGGAGUACGGCGCAGUUAAACUCAAAUGAAUUGACGGGCGCCCCGCACAGCGGUGGAGCAUGUUGUUUAAUUCGAUGCAACGCGAAGAUCCUAGCUGGUCCUGACAUUCGACAGAACUUACAAGAUGGAUUGGUGUCUUCCAGAAACUUGUAGAAACAGGUGCUGCAUUGCUGUCGCCAGCUCGGGUUGGAAUGGUGAUAAGUCCGGACGAGCCACCAUAUCUUUGUGGCAAGCGUAGGGCGGACUAGAGAGCUGCGAUAUACCUGAGAACGUGGGGAGUAUACGUCAAGAU
rnacentral:rRNA from 1 species